AUGGGUAGUGCAAACAUUAUUAUCCUUGUUGUCUUGCUCUUCUCCUCGGUGCUCACGCUUCUGCUUCCCACUGCUGCCUGUGCUCGCCACGGUGAGUUCCUCUCCAAUCUAUAUAGAUCAUGCGUCCUAGUUUGUGUUGUUACUUACCCCGAGUCCCAUUGGCAUGCAGCUCCAGCAGCUGCGGUGCUUAACGCAAAAGAUGGCCUCAACGACACCGGAGGACUACAUCACGUGGUGGUCAGUGACGCGGGGAAGGCUGGCCCUGUCACGAGCGACAGUGGCGGCUUCUGGCCGGGAACGGCUGAGGCGUGUGUGGCGUCAAGGCACCGGGGCGACACGGCCACCGUGAUGCAAGACAUGCUCGGGAUGGAUUACUCUCCGGCGGUGCGCAAGCCCCCGCAGUGUGAACGUGCGACCUGUGCACGUCGUGCCUUGUCGAGUGCAUGCCCGGUGUCGAGCAUGUUGGCACUAGGCGGUGUCCUAAGAAACGUUUUCGACCCUCCCGAGCCGCCCCCCCGCAUGGGCGACCGGGAGGCCCCAGAUCCCAUCGGCCGGACCUCCCCCACUCCUCCUCCUCCCUCACCGCCGCCCAAGGGCGCGGCCAGGCGAAGCCUUGCCGUCGCCGGCGGCGGCGGAGACUUGGGCCCUCUCGCUCGGGUGGGGCUGGCGCGGGACAGCGCCCCCGGGCCGGAGCGUGGCGGGCGGGCCAGACGCCAUGACGGGUGGUGGCGGCGCAUCGGCGACCUCGCUUCCCCGCGGCAGGAGGUCUCAGGAUCUGGUGCGUCGCGGUCGCCAGAGACGGAGGCAGCGUGA
rnacentral:rRNA from 1 species